AAUGGACGCAAGUCUGAUGGAGCAACGCCGCGUGAGUGAAGAAGGUUUUCGGAUCGUAAAGCUUUGUUGUUGGUGAAGAAGGAUAGAGGUAGUAACUGGCCUUUAUUUGACGGUAAUCAACCAGAAAGUCACGGCUAACUACGUGCCAGCAGCCGCGGUAAUACGUAGGUGGCAAGCGUUGUCCGGAUUUAUUGGGCGUAAAGCGAGCGCAGGCGGAAGAAUAAGUCUGAUGUGAAAGCCCUCGGCUUAACCGAGGAACUGCAUCGGAAACUGUUUUUCUUGAGUGCAGAAGAGGAGAGUGGAACUCCAUGUGUAGCGGUGGAAUGCGUAGAUAUAUGGAGGAACACCAGUGGCGAAGGCGGCUCUCUGGUCUGCAACUGACGCUGAGGCUCGAAAGCAUGGGUAGCGAA
rnacentral:rRNA from 1 species